CCUACGGGUGGCUGCAGUCGGGAAUUUUGGGCAAUGGGGGAAACCCUGACCCAGCAACGCCGCGUGAGCGAUGAAGGCCUUCGGGUCGUAAAGCUCUGUCGGGAGGGAAGAAGGCUCUCGGAGUGAAUAAUUCCGGGGGAUUGACGGUACCUCUGGAGGAAGCGCCGGCUAACUCCGUGCCAGCAGCCGCGGUAAUACGGAGGGCGCAAGCGUUGUUCGGAAUCACUGGGCGUAAUGCGCGUGUAGGCGGGGAAGCCCGGGGCCCAACCCCGGAACUGCACUCGAAACUGCCUCGCUCGAGUCCCGGAGAGGAUGGUGGAAUUCCCGGUGUAGUGGUGAAAUACGUAGAUAUCGGGAGGAACACCAGCGGCGAAGGCGGCCAUCUGGACGGUGACUGACGCUGAGACGCGAAAGCGUGGGGAGCAAACAGGAUUAGAUACCCGGGUAGUC
rnacentral:rRNA from 1 species